GAUCCUGGCUCAGGAUGAACGCUAGCUACAGGCUUAACACAUGCAAGUCGAGGGGCAGCAUGUUGGUUGCUUGCAACCAAUGAUGGCGACCGGCGCACGGGUGAGUAACGCGUAUCCAACCUACCCUUGUCCAUCGGAUAACCCGUCGAAAGGCGGCCUAACACGAUAUGCGGUUCACAGCAGGCAUCUAACGUGAACGAAAUGUAAGAGAGA
rnacentral:rRNA from 1 species